UACGUAGGUGGCGAGCGUUGUCCGGAUUUACUGGGCGUAAAGCGCGCGCAGGCGGUUCUGUAAGUCCUGGGUGAAAUCGCCCGGCUCAACUGGGCGGGGGCCUGGGGGACUGCGGGACUGGAGGGGCCUAGAGGCCGGUGGAACUCCCGGUGUAGUGGUGAAAUGCGUAGAGAUCGGGAAGAACACCAGUGGCGAAGGCGGCCGGCUGGGGGCGCCCUGACGCUGAGGCGCGAGAGCGGUGGGGAGCGGAACCGG
rnacentral:rRNA from 1 species